UUUGCCUCUAGAUUGGUUGCGUGGUAAACAAUAAUGACUAGGAGUAGCAUCUUUUUACCAUACUUGUUUCUCCUGUCCAAGCAUGCAUCUUAUGGUUGCUGUGUGAUGUGAGCUGACACAUUAAUUUACUGAAAAUAACAUAUAUUUUGUGUGCCGGUGACAUCGGCUGGUGUUGGUUGGGGGCAGACAACGGCAUGUUCUGCAGCUCGGGGAGUCGUCGGCGGCGGCAGAUGGGUCCUGCACCUUCAAGUUUCGUGUCGGGUUUGCUUUGGCACAAAGAGUGCUUUCAAAUCGACUCCAUCUAAGACAGAAAAUUUCAGAUGUGCAAGUGAAAUUUCAUACGCUUUGUUCACCAUUAUCAGAGGUCAGCAGCAGGCAUGGAGAUCUGCACCAUAGUGCAAGGGGAGAGGGG